rnacentral:rRNA from 1 species
AUUGAACGCUGGCGGCAUGCCUAACACAUGCAAGUCGAGCGAGCGGCGGACGGGUGAGUAACGUCCGUGAAACUGCCUGAUGGAGGGGGAUAACUACUGGAAACGGUAGCUAAUACCGCAUACCAUCAGAUGUGCCCACAUGGGAUUAUCUAGUAGGUGGGGUAACGGCUCACCUAGGCGACGAUCCCUAGCUGGUCUGAGAGGAGGAUCAGCCACACUGGAACUGAGACACGGCCCAGACUCCUACGGGAGGCAGCAGUGGGGAAUAUUGCACAAUGGGCGCAAGCCUGAUGCAGCCAGGCCGAGUGUGUGAAGAAGGCCUUAGGGUUGUAAAGUACUUUCAGCCGGGAGGCGUUACCGGCAGAAGAAGCACCGGCUAACUCCGUGCCAGCAGCCGCGGUAAUAC